rnacentral:rRNA from 1 species
GCGCGAAAACUUUACAAUGCGGGAAACCGUGAUAAGGGAACUCCGAGUGCCCGUAAAAUCGGGCUGUCCAUCAGUUUAAAUAACUGGUGAAGAAAGGGCCGGGCAAGACCGGUGCCAGCCGCCGCGGUAAUACCGGCGGCUCGAGUGGUGGCCACUAUUACUGGGCUUAAAGCGUUCGUAGCUGGUCUGUUAAGUCUCUGGGGAAAUCUGCCGGCUUAACCGGGCAGGCGUUUCAGGGAUACUGGCAGACUAGGGACCGGGAGAGGUGAGAGGUACUCCAGGGGUAGGAGUGAAAUCCUGUAAUCCUUGGGGGACCACCUGUGGCGAAGGCGUCUCACCAGAACGGCUCCGACAGUGAGGGACGAAAGCUGGGGGGAGCGAAACCGGAUUAGAUACCCGGGUAGUCCCAGCUGUAAACGAUGCGCGUUAGGUGUAUCGGUGACCACGAGUCACCGAGGUGCCGAAGAGAAAUCGUGAAACGUGCCGCCUGGGAAGUACGGGUCGCAAGGCUAGGAAACUUAAAGGAAUUGGGCGGGGGAGCGACCACAACAGGUGGAGCCGU